UGUUUCUUCCUUAAAUUGUUUUAGGUUUUUUUAAGGAAUUUGACCGGAGGAGUGACUGAUUUUGGGAGUAAAAUCAUUUUCCGUUCUAAUGAACUUGGAUAUGGUUUCUUAUAUGAUUUUAUAUAGUUCUAAUUCAGCCAUGAAAUGCGCGUAGUCAAUGUACAAGUACUUACU